GGUGACCCUGGUUUCAUAGGUGAUUUAACGUGCUGACGGAAGAUUUGAGCUGACAAAGGCCCUGGAAGCCAGUACCUGUGAGGUAAGGUAACCAUUAAUUUCAAGUGAAAAGAUCAUAGAUGAACAAUAACAUACAACUAUGAACAACUACAAAUGAAUUAUACAAUCAUUUUCACAGUUUCUCUUGAUAUGAUAAUACAUCUCAGUACAAGUGUGGCAGUUUCCA
rnacentral:misc_RNA from 1 species